AUUGAACGCUGGCGGCAUGCCUUACACAUGCAAGUCGAACGGCAGCACGGGAGCAAUCCUGGUGGCGAGUGGCGAACGGGUGAGUAAUAUAUCGGAACGUGCCCAGUCGUGGGGGAUAACGCAGCGAAAGCUGUUCUAAUACCGCAUACGAUCUAAGGAUGAAAGCGGGGGAUCGCAAGACCUCGCGCGAUUGGAGCGGCCGAUAUCAGAUUAGCUAGUUGGUGGGGUAAAGGCCCACCAAGGCGACGAGCUGUAGCUGGUCUGAGAGGACGACCAGCCAAACUGGAACUGAGCCGCGGUCCAGACUCCGACGGGAGGAAGCAGUGGGGAAUUUUGGACAAUGGGCGCAAGCAUGAUCCAGCAAUGCCGCGUGCAGGAUGAAGGCCUUCGGGUUGUAAACUGCUUUUGUACGGAACGAAACGGCCCUUUCUAAUACAGGGGGCUAAUGACGGUACCGUAAGAAUAAGGAUCGGCUAACUCCGUGCCAGCCGCCGCGGUAAUAC
rnacentral:rRNA from 1 species